rnacentral:rRNA from 1 species
UACGAAGGGGGGCUAGCGUUGCUCGGAAUCACUGGGCGUAAAGGGUGCGUAGGCGGGUCUUUAAGUCAGGGGUGAAAUCCUGGAGCUCAACUCCAGAACUGCCUUUGAUACUGAGGAUCUUGAGUACGGGAGAGGUGAGUGGAACUGCGAGUGUAGAGGUGAAAUUCGUAGAUAUUCGCAAGAACACCAGUGGCGAAGGCGGCUCACUGGCCCGGUACUGACGCUGAGGUGCGAAAGCGUGGGGAGCAAACAGG